CAGAGAUUGUUCACUGUUGAAGAAUUGGCUUUGUACAAUGGGACUGAUCAAAGUUUGCCCUCUUGUUAGGAAUUCUGGGAGUUGAAACACUGAGGUACAAAAGAGGGGACGGCAAAUCAAUCUGUGUUUGUUUUGGAAAAGGGCUUCUGCUAUAUUUGUUGGUGUAUAUGAACCUACGAAGCAGAAAUUGCUGAAGUCACUCCCAGAAAAUUUCAGUGCUUUAGUUCAUUUGGUAUUCAGACAUCAAUCAGACUGCAGGUGCUAUUGGAGGUGCUGCUUCUUCUAUUGUACGAGUGCCAACAGAGCUAUACUCAAAACACUGAAUCUGUUUUUGUCAUCAGAACUAACCAACUCGCAAAUCUGAUAUAAAGAGCAUAAAGGUGAGGCUAGGGGCGAUUAAGAAGAAGAGGAACGCUGCUGAACUAUCUGAAGAAUAAUGUUGUUGAUCUUCUCAAGAUUGGCCUUGAUAUUAAUGUAUAUGGAAGGGUUCUCAUCCAAAAAAUAAAGAACCUCAUUUUUGUGCUGCUGUGGGUGGAGCUGGGAGCAGCACAGCAGGUCGAAAAGGCAUGGCUGAUGCUGUAGCAGAUAUGACAAAAAGAUCAGCAUACUUUCAACAAAUUGAAGAUGUUCUGAAAUAUUCAAAGGCUUUAACAGAUAUGAGAACUACCGUGAGUUUUUUUCCAAACAAAAGACAUGAAUGAGCUGCUAGACUUCCACAAGAAAUUAGAAUCCAUUCUUGAACACUUGACUGAUGAGACACAGGUCUUAUCAAGGUUUGAAGGAUUCCCUACAAAGAAGUUAAAAACAAUGAGGACAGCAGCAACACUCCACUCAUAGUUAAAUGCAUUGAUCACAGAACUACACAAUUGGAAAAUAGGAAGAGCGGUUGAAGUGGAUGAUUGUUGUGGAGAUUAUGGAUGAAUCUCCAGAAAUGCUUGGUUCUACAAAGUAAGAUUGGUC